CCUACGGGUGGCAGCAGUGAGGAAUAUUGGUCAAUGGGCGCGAGCCUGAACCAGCCAAGUCGCGUGAAGGAUGACUGCCCUACGGGUUGUAAACUUCUUUUAUAAAGGAGUAAAGUGAGGCACGUGUGCCUUUUUGUAUGUACUUUAUGAAUAAGGAUCGGCUAACUCCGUGCCAGCCGCCGCGGUAAUUCGGAGGAUCCGAGCGUUAUCCGGAUUUAUUGGGGUUAAAGGGGGCGUAGAUGGGUUGUUAAGUCAGUUGUGAAAGUUUGGGGCUCAACCGUAAAAUUGCAAUUGAUACUGGCAGUCUUGAGUGCGGUUGAGGUAGGCGGAAUGCGUGGUGUAGCGGUGAAAUGCAUAGAUAUCACGAAGAACUCCGAUUGCGAAGGCAGCUUACU
rnacentral:rRNA from 1 species